rnacentral:rRNA from 1 species
AUUGAACGCUGGCGGCAUGCUUUACACAUGCAAGUCGAACGGUAACAGGCCGCAAGGUGCUGACGAGUGGCGAACGGGUGAGUAAUGCAUCGGAACGUGCCCAGUCGUGGGGGAUAACGCAGCGAAAGCUGUGCUAAUACCGCAUACGAUCUAUGGAUGAAAGCGGGGGACCGUAAGGCCUCGCGCGAUUGGAGCGGCCGAUGUCAGAUUAGGUAGUUGGUGGGGUAACGGCUCACCAAGCCAACGAUCUGUAGCUGGUCUGAGAGGACGACCAGCCACACUGGGACUGAGACACGGCCCAGACUCCUACGGGAGGCAGCAGUGGGGAAUUUUGGACAAUGGGCGCAAGCCUGAUCCAGCAAUGCCGCGUGCAGGAAGAAGGCCUUCGGGUUGUAAACUGCUUUUGUACGGAACGAAAAGGUCUGGGUUAAUACCCUGGGCUGAUGACGGUACCGUAAGAAUAAGCACCGGCUAACUACGUGCCAGCAGCCGCGGUAA